UACGGAGGGUGCAAGCGUUAUCCGGAUUCACUGGGUUUAAAGGGAGCGCAGGCGGAUUUGUAAGUCAGUGGUGAAAGGCUUAAGCUUAACUUGGGAACUGCCAUUGAUACUAUAAGUCUUGAAUGUUGUUGAGGUUUGCGGAAUGGGUCAUGUAGCGGUGAAAUGCAUAGAUAUGACCCGGAACACCUAUUGCGAAGGCAGCAGGCUAAACAAAUAUUGACGCUGAGGCUCGAAAGCGGUGGGGAUCAAACAGG
rnacentral:rRNA from 1 species